AGCUCCAAUAGCGUAUAUUAAAGUUGUUGCAGUUAAAAAGCUCGUAGUCGGAACUUUGGUUGGCAGUGAGCGUCCAAGGCCUUCGGUCUUGCGCAUGCGAUCUGCGUGGCCAUGUACUUCGGAGGAACGCGUGUGCUUUUCACUAAGUGUGCGUGGGAUUCCGAUAGUUUACUUUGAGAAAAAUAGAGUGUUCAAAGCAGGCGUUUGCCUUGAAUACAUUAGCAUGGGAUAAUGAAAUAGGACAUUGGUUCUAUUUUGAUGGUUUACGGACCGAUGUAAUGAUUAAUAGGGACAGUUGGGGACAUUCAUAUUCCAUGGCUAGAGGUGAAAUUCUUGGAUUCAUGGAAGAUGAACUACUGCGAAAGCAUUUGUCAAAGAUGUUUUCAUUGAUCAAGAACGA
rnacentral:rRNA from 1 species